CUUCUAUACAGACUGUGUAAGAGAUAGAAACAGAGAGAGAGAGAGAGAGAGUGGAGUUUACUAAGAUAGAGAUGGGAGGUGUGACUUCUUCAAUUGCGAUGAAGGUGGCGCUCUUCGGCCGUAUCAGUUAACUUGCAAGGCAAUCAGAGACAACGCAUACGGUGGUCCGAUGUUGGAGCUCUCUAUCGAGCUAACUAUUCAGCUUUUUGUCAAUUUGAUGGGAAAACGAGUACCGUUUCCAAAGGAGAGGAAAUCUAUCUAAAUAUAUCCAAAGUACCAGGAGAUUGUUAAUAUUCGCUUAGGUGAUGGAUCUAUGAGACGUGGUCAGGUCAUGGAGGUUGAUGGCGAGAAAGAUGUUGUCCAAGGCAAUUGGCUGUACAGGUACAAUGUUCUCAAUAAACUUAUUUUCUUUUGGUUUCAGGUUUUUGAAAGAACAUCUGAAAUUGACACCGUUCAAUUCACUGAGUUACUGAAAACACAUGUAUCUCAAUAGAUGCUUGGGCGCAUUUUUAACGGCUCAAGAAAGACAAUUGAUUAUGGCCCUCCUAUUUUGCCUGAGGCAUACCUUGAUAUUUCUGAUGUGCAUGAGACUAUUCCUGAAGGCAUUAAUCUUAGAGGAGACAUAAACGGCUGUGCUAAAUCCUCAUUCCUAAGGCGUAGUGUGUGUAUACAUCUAGGAAGUCCUCUUCUGCAGCUGGGUUGAUUGCAACUGUGGCUAAAAAAAACUUAAACUGGCUGGUGCUUUAACGCUUGAUAAUGGAAUAUGUUGCGUUCAUGAGUUUGACAAGAUGGAUAUGUAAAACCAGGCUGCAAUUCGAGAAGCCAUAGAGCAGCCACAAUAAGCACUAUUUUUCUGUGUGUAGAUCCGUCUACUUCCCAUGCUUGAGGAGUAUAACUUACUCAUGCGGUAAAGAGAAAGAACACCGACUCCAAUGGGCAUG